AUUUCGGAAAAAAGUUUCCCAAAAAAUAUCUCAGUUCCCGCUUCUCUCCUUGUUCCCCUUCUCUGGUUCUCUUUUCCCUAAAAAUGAACAUUUUUCAUUUUUUUCCAUUUUCCCUCUUCUCUCCCUUCCCUUUCUCUGGUUCUCUGAUUUCUAACAAGGCCACAAAACUCAAAAUUCACAGCACAUACACCGUGACAAGCCACGGCGCCGCUGCUCUUAGGAUUUCUGAGUGUGCAUUUUCGACGUCGAGUCAUUCGUAUUGUUGAGAUGGGUUGGCCAAUUGUCGAAUCUUCCGAUUUCAAAAUUAGUGGAGAAGAUGUGUUUAUCAUUAACAAAGCUGAUGUAGGGAUUUGAUUGUUAUUUUGUUUGUUGUUAGCUCUGGUUUCCCAUGCCAAAACUGCAGAAGGGGUUCAAAUAUUGAAUCUAUGAUAGGAUGAUUGUGAUACUCCAAGUGCACCUCCAGUUUACCGCUUCGGUCAGGACACCAACCAAGAUGUGCUUGGAGCCAAUAGCGAAGCAUCUGCUAAUUCUCAUGUUGCUUCUAACAAAAAUGAGCCAGUUCUUCCUAGUGUUCUGCCAUCUGGUGCCAAUCAAGUGGAUAGUAUUGGAAAUAAGGUUCCUGGUCAACAAGCAAGAACCGCAGCCGGUGCAUAAUCUGCAGGAUCUUCUGGUUCACAUGCUUCUUGUCUACCUACUUUCCAUGCAAGUGUGUUGAAGAAAUCAAAUGGAAGUAGAUCAAGACUCCCUCUAUUGAAAAUAGUGAAGUGUGCGCAACAAAUGGGCAAUACGGAGUGCGGCUACUGCGUGACGAAGUACAUGUACAAUAUAGUUACAAGUUGUACGGAUGCAAGGAUCUCGAAGAGGUAUUCAAUAAUCCGAGGGAGCGGCCUUUCACCUUUGAGGAGAUAGAUGAAGUUCGAGAAAUGUUGGCAAACUUCAUUACCAGUGAUUGUCUUUGAUAUUUUCUUGUACGGAAUCUUAAAUUAUGAAUGCUAGUUUUUCAUAUGAUUGUAAUGUAAUCGACUUUUAUAUUUACAAUUAUAUACUAUUUAAUUUAA